GUUUCUGUGGUGUAGUGGUUAUCACGUUUACCUAACACGUGAAAGGUCCCUGGUUUGAAACCGGGCGGGAACA
rnacentral:tRNA from 1 species